rnacentral:rRNA from 1 species
UGGGGAAUAUUGGACAAUGGGCGCAAGCCUGAUCCAGCUAUGCCGCGUGAGUGAUGAAGGCCCUAGGGUUGUAAAGCUCUUUCACCGGUGAAGAUAAUGACGGUAACCGGAGAAGAAGCCCCGGCUAACUUCGUGCCAGCAGCCGCGGUAAUACGAAGGGGGCUAGCGUUGUUCGGAUUUACUGGGCGUAAAGCGCACGUAGGCGGACUUUUAAGUCAGGGGUGAAAUCCCGGGGCUCAACCCCGGAACUGCCUUUGAUACUGGAAGUCUUGAGUAUGGUAGAGGUGAAUGGAAUUCCGGGUGUAGAGGUGAAAUACGUAGAUAUUCGGAGAAACACCAGUGGCGAAGGCGGCUCACUGGACCAUUACUGACGCUAAGGUGCGAAAGCGUGGGGAGCAAACAGG